GGGGACAGUGACCAUUUUGUCUUGUGGAGACCAGUUUUACAGCUCCUGUCAGCUGGAGGCCAUAGGCUCCGCCAUCCCUCAGACCUCUGUACAUUCAGAGACUUUGCAUUCCCACUGCAUCCAUGUGGGUCAGGCUUGUAUGCACUAUUUUAGUGCAGGUUAUGUCUCUGUGGGCCUGGCUACCUUCAUGGACCUCAACACCUUGGGACAGAAGGUGUGGGCUGUUGAUCAGAACAUUGCAUACAGCAACCAAGUGGCCAUGACCCAGAUGCUUCUGCUGAUGAAGGAACGGUGGAUUGGCUGUUUAAUAUUAUCAGUGACGGCAAAAGAGAAAUGGUGUGGGAGAGAAACUGGAGGAAAAUUAUGACCGUUUACAUGUUUUCAAAAAAAAUCUGUCAAUAUUUAGAGGCCAUAUUCUUACACUUCGUUCGGCUCCAGUUUAAUUUUUAUAUAGAAAGAAAUAACUUCACAUGAUAGUUGCUUUACUUGUAACUUAAUACUGUAAUUAUGUGCUAAACUCAAUUGAUGCUUAGGUGUUGAAUUCAUUAUCAUUUUGAUAGAUGAGCCUAAAUAAUGAGCGCAUUAAUAAUUCAUACCAUUUUCAUUAUGCAUGUGUAUGCAUGCUUGAACACCUCAUCAACCUGGUGCCAGGCCUUAAACAAUAGGAUCCUUUUAUUAGCAGUAUGCCCAAGUUUACGCUUGUUAAUCUGCGACUUGUAUUAUUUUAUCAAACAUUCAUUUAGUUGGUGGCCUGGUGCUUCACUGCAGCACUUGAGUCUCUGCAGCUGUUAAUGGCUUCUGCAGUGGCCAUCAUUAGGGACCUGCAUAUUACAAACACAAUUAAAUCCCUGUUGGACACUUUUAUUGUUGUAUAAGAGCCCUGGCUUUGACAAGUGCAAGCACACAGCCUUCACAGCAAAUUAUGGGCUGUGUCCUGAGCUUACUGUGGCUUCCGCCUGCCCCCCCUUUUUUUUUUUAAUCUCCCGAAAGUGGCUAAGAACAACCGUAAUUCUUAUCUUCUUAAGCCCUGACAUGAUUUUACACUGUUUCUCUUGAUCAGAAUGUCUCUAUGACAGUAGAUGAAUGCAAACACUGCUUUCCGUGAAGGGCAGUUGCUUGGCAUGGUGACACACAGCAAGGCUCGUCGUGUGCUUGGCAUGUCUUCUCAGCAUUAAUUGUUUUUCCUUGCUGGUAAUUAAGAAAGGCCCAACACUUUGCCGAGUGUGCCUCUUUCUCAGUGUGUUUGCUAAACAGACGCGCAAACUGAUUAAUGUCCCUAAGAAAGUGUUUGGUGUCGCCACUUUUACUCUAAACAAACUUUUAGGCAAAAUUUUCAAUUUUAAACAAAAUAUUUGCUAUCUUACGUGAUGAAUUUUGACAGUCAGUGUUUGUUGUUUCUUUUUACAGCCUCAGAUGGAAAGUUUUCAUGCAGUUAUUGGAAGCCACUUGUUUCAUUCUAACCUUUCUGUGUUGUACUGCCACAUCCUCUCCAACAUGUGCAAGCUAUUGGAUUCAACAUGAAGGUUGGAAAUUCACCUAGGUAAGCGAUAUUGAAGC
ensembl:lncRNA